AGGGUGUGCUGCGUGCUGUCCUGACACUUCGGGCGUACCUAGACAAACCCCACACGUGCAUGUGUGCAUCCUUUCGUGCGGCAUGGAAGGUGUUAGACCAGGCUCUCUUGGUGCAUGGGUGCCUGACAGAGCCCGCAUGUCUUUGAGUGACAUGCUGAACGUACGCAAUGUGCCACGAGAAUAUGUCCCAAUACUAAUGGGCGUU
rnacentral:lncRNA from 1 species